ensembl:lncRNA
GCAAUAGGUAGAAUAAAAGGUUUAAUUAGGUCGUCCAAUUUAAAUAGAUAGUGAAGGGCAAUCGGGUAGGAUUAUGAAGAGAAUUGUGAUUUUGAGUAGCGGUUAAGACAAAAGUGAGUCGCCCAAUAUUGAAAAUGCAAGUUUUAAUAUUGUGAUUUUUGUUUUCUUUCACAUCUCCCUAGUUAAGGACAAUAGGUGGAUUGACGCUACAUCUGCUGGGAAGGAGUCAUACAUGCUAUGUUGUCAAAUUGGAUUCGGAAUCACCCUGAUGUGUAUUCAUUACGCACACAUAUGGCUGCAUAAGGCAGAUGCGGCUGAAGACUCUGUCUCCAUCCCUCCACUCUGCGAUCUAUACCACCAUAUAGGUGGGGAUUGAUCGUAUCCCAGGUACGGCAUCCUGCAGUAAGCCAGUAUGGAAGGCUGGUUAGCCAACGACGGGUAAGAUCCCACCUUGAAACCCGGGACAACCUAAUUCAGGCACAGUCACGAUUACUUGGCAGAGUCACUGUGAGCACUGGCUCACUUGAACAUGUAGUGACGAACUGCAAGGGAAAGCCGGCUGAUGAAAGGUGGAGGGGGAACAACAGGAGUCAGAUAUGUCAGCUCUGACAGCAGAGGUCGUCUUGAAACGGGGCAUGUCGCGUUUUAUUUCAUUUUAUUUUACCUUUGUGGUAUAGAAGGCCACUAACGCAUGUACGUUUUUUCGGUUUAGUGCAUGACUUUGGAACAGCGUGGUUUCAGGCGGCUGAUGGUAAACCCACCCAUAUUGGGCUUUGGAUUUGGACAUACUGGUUUCGAUUUCCCUUCCCAAAAGAUUGGUUUCAGUUUACUGAUGCUUAAGGUUAGACUUUCGACGUUGGGUGCACCAACGGCGUUAUUAGAUUUGUUUAUCAUUUACUGCGCAUGGUUUUGACCAUUGCGCAAGGGGGGAGGUAUUAGGAAAAUUUUUGAAAACAAGGUUUUUCUUCACCAUACUUGCAAACAAUGAUUGACAUCCAGCUAAAUGAGUGUGAAAUAUUUGAAAAAACAGUGUUCAACAGAUGGGUAGAAGCAGUCCCAUCAGAAGACCAAA